rnacentral:rRNA from 1 species
UAACUGGAAGCCCUGUGGACUCCUACGGGAGGCAGCAGUGGGGAAUAUUGCACAAUGGGCGCAAGCCUGAUGCAGCGACGCCGCGUGCGGGAUGACGGCCUUCGGGUUGUAAACCGCUUUUGACUGGGAGCAAGCCCUUCGGGGUGAGUGUACCUUUCGAAUAAGCACCGGCUAACUACGUGCCAGCAGCCGCGGUAAUACGUAGGGUGCAAGCGUUAUCCGGAAUUAUUGGGCGUAAAGGGCUCGUAGGCGGUUCGUCGCGUCCGGUGUGAAAGUCCAUCGCUUAACGGUGGAUCCGCGCCGGGUACGGGCGGGCUUGAGUGCGGUAGGGGAGACUGGAAUUCCCGGUGUAACGGUGGAAUGUGUAGAUAUCGGGAAGAACACCAAUGGCGAAGGCAGGUCUCUGGGCCGUUACUGACGCUGAGGAGCGAAAGCGUGGGGAGCGAACAGGAUUAGAUACCCUGGUAGUCCACGCCGUAAACGGUGGAUGCUGGAUGUGGGGACCAUUCCACGGUCUCCGUGUCGGAGCCAACGCGUUAAGCAUCCCGCCUGGGGAGUACGGCCGCAAGGCUAAAACUCAAAGAAAUUGACGGGGGCCCGCACAAGCGGCGGAGCAUGCGGAUUAAUUCGAUGCAACGCGAAGAACCUUACCUGGGCUUGACAUGUUCCCGACAGCCGUAGAGAUACGGUCUCCCUUCGGGGCGGGUUCACAGGUGGUGCAUGGUCGUCGUCAGCUCGUGUCGUGAGAUGUUGGGUUAAGUCCCGCAACGAGCGCAACCCUCGCCCUGUGUUGCCAGCACGUCGUGGUGGGAACUCACGGGGGACCGCCGGGGUCAACUCGGAGGAAGGUGGGGAUGACGUCAGAUCAUCAUGCCCCUUACGUCCAGGGCUUCACGCAUGCUACAAUGGCCGGUACAACGGGAUGCGACCUCGUGAGGGGGAGCGGAUCCCUUAAAACCGGUCUCAGUUCGGAUUGGAGUCUGCAACCCGACUCCAUGAAGGCGGAGUCGCUAGUAAUCGCGGAUCAGCAACGCCGCGGUGAAUGCGUUCCCGGGCCUUGUACACACCGCCCGUCAAGUCAUGAAAGUGGGCAGCACCCGAAGCCGGUGGCCUAACCCCUUGUGGGAUGGAGCCGUCUAAGGUGAGGCUCGUGAUUGGGACUAAGUCGUAACAAGGUAGCCGUACCGGAAGGUGCGGCUG